rnacentral:rRNA from 1 species
UACAGAGGGUGCGAGCGUUGUCCGGAAUCACUGGGCGUAAAGGGCGCGUAGGUGGCCCGACAAGUCACUGGUGAAAGCUCGACGCUUAACGUCGAGUCGGCCAGUGAUACUGUUGGGCUGGAGCACUGUAGAGGCUCAUGGAAUUCCGGGUGUAGCGGUGGAAUGCGUAGAGAUCCGGAAGAACACCGGUGGCGAAGGCGGUGAGCUGGGCAGUUGCUGACACUGAGGCGCGACAGCGUGGGGAGCAAACGGG